ensembl:lncRNA
CUGUCAGCUCCACAUUCAUGUAUUUUUGGUGUUGCUGUGGAUCUCAAUUGGAAGCAACUCCUUGCGCCAAUAUGUACCGCCAAUUGUAAUGUUUAUUUAUCUGGAGGAGAGAGUUAUUUUACAAGCAGUAACAAAGAAAGAUAAAUAUGAUCUGAGACUUGAUGAUCAGCAGCAUCUGUUGUUAUAGAGGUCUGAAACGCCAUGAUACAGCCAACGCGACGCCAAGAUAGCAGUGAGCCAGCAGUGACAUCUAGAGGCGGAAGCGGGAACUCAAACCAACGCACUUCCACCAUCCCAUCUAGUCUCAUAAUACCUCGUCAUGGCUGAACCAUAUCCACGAUGACUCCGGCCAUAUGGAAGGUAGAUAAAGCUCUGGUCGAGGCCAACAGGGGGAAGAUGACAACGGGCUGGUUUUGCCGAGUCAAAGCAUUAAGGGCUGGAGCAAGAGAAAUAGCCUUGACACUGCAGGCUCGUCGAAGCACCACGCUGCGCCACCUAAAUGCCAGCACAAUAAGCAAAGAGACAGGCGACGUUUCUCAUCACAGCAGGGGGGCUCGUUGGGGAGCGCCAUCUUGUUUGGCACUUGUCGGAGAAGGGGAGAUGCGGUGUCGGGGAAGAGCCUCACAGCAGUGGGACAAAGCUUUCAUUAAGGCUCAAAUUGAGGGAGAUCACCAGAAGCUCACCACGUCUGGGGAGCUGUUUAACUCAGUAUUUUUCAGAAUCUGCCUGCGACUCAUUGGAGAUUGGUUCAGCACCCCUACAUCAAUGACAGACGAGGUUUCUAAGAAGUCACCUCAUUGCUGCCGUUUGGCAUUCACCCAUCAAAAUUGAUUAGUUUUUCCCGAAAUAAACACAUCAAAGAAGUGUCCAGG